GCGCUUUAAACUAAUGAGUAAGGAUAAUAUUCGGCUUUGGUAACGCUAGCAAUGUUUACAUGAUUAAACGAACUUAUUUUUGCAAGGGUACAGGUCGUCGUAUGACCAGUCGAACUACUUUCUUGACUGGUCUGGUGAAGCGAUUUUACCAU